GGUGAUAUGGCGCAACCGGUAGACGCGCUAGCAUGAGAGGCUAGUUCCUGGGAGUUCGAGUCUCCCUAUCAUCACCA
rnacentral:tRNA from 1 species